rnacentral:rRNA from 1 species
CAGUCGCCGCGGUAAUACGGAGGAUCCAAGCGUUAUCCGGAAUCAUUGGGUUUAAAGGGUCCGUAGGCGGUCUUGUAAGUCAGUGGUGAAAGCCCAUCGCUCAACGGUGGAACGGCCAUUGAUACUGCAGGACUUGAAUUAUUGGGAAGUAACUAGAAUAUGUAGUGUAGCGGUGAAAUGCUUAGAGAUUACAUGGAAUACCAAUUGCGAAGGCAGCUGGCUACACAACUAUUGACGCUGAGGCACGAAAGCGUGGGGAUCAAACAGGAUUAGAGACCCCCGUAGUCCCUGUCUCUUAUAA